UUUUAAAGAAUGUGACAAGCCCAAGCCUUCACCAACUCCAUACUACUACAAAUCACCUCCACCUCCCUCACCUGUUUACAAGUACAACUCUCCACCUCCACCAGUCCAUUAUUAUUCACCACCAUAUUACUACAAAUCACCUCCUCCUCCAGUAAAAUCGCCACCAACACCUUACUACUACAAAUCACCUCCACCUCCCUCACCAGUUUACAAGUACAACUCACCACCUCCACCGGUCCAUUAUUACUCUCCUCCAUAUUCCUAUAAGUCGCCUCCACCUCCCUCACCAGUUUACAAAUACAACUCCCCACCUCCACCAGUCCACCAUUAUGAUCCUCCAUAUUACUACAAGUCACCUCCACCUCCCUCACCAGUUUACAAGUACAACUCCCCACCUCCACCAGUCCAUUAUUAUUCACCUCCAUAUUACUACAAAUCCCCACCUCCUCCUGUGAAAUCCCCACCACCCCCUUACUACUAUAAAUCACCUCCACCUCCCUCACCAGUUUACAAAUACAACUCACCACCUCCACCGGUUUACAAGUACAACUCACCACCUCCACCAGUCCACCAUUAUGAUCCUCCAUAUAACUACAAGUCACCUCCACCUCCUUCACCUGUUUACAAGUACAACUCCCCACCUCCACCAGUCCAUUAUUAUUCACCUCCAUAUUACUACAAAUCACNNN
rnacentral:lncRNA from 1 species